rnacentral:rRNA from 1 species
AGAGCGAACGCUGGCGGCAGGCCUAACACAUGCAAGUCGAGCGCCCGUAGCAAUACGGGAGCGGCAGACGGGAUAGUAACACGUGGGAACGCGCCCUUCGGUUCGGAAUAACUCAGGGAAACUUGAGCUAAUACCGAAUACGCCCUUACGGGGAAAGAUUUAUUGCCGAAGGAACGGCCCGCGUCCGAUUAGCUAGUUGGUGAGGUAAUGGCUCACCAAGGCUACGAUCGGUAGCUGGUCUGAGAGGAUGACCAGCAUCACUGGGACUGAGACACGGCCCAGACUCCUACGGGAGGCAGCAGUGGGGAAUAUGGACAAUGGGCGCAAGCCUGAUCCAGUCAUGCCGCGUGGAUGAUGAAGGCCUUAGGGUUGUAAAGUCCUUUUAACGGGGAAGAUAAUGACGGUACCCGUAGAAUAAGCCCCGGCUAACUUCGUGCCAGCAGCCGC